UCACAAGUAUCAGCUCCAAGAUGUGCAUCUCCACUUUUUUAUUCAAUCCUAUGAAUGUAUGUUUCAUUUCUCUAAGGUUUUUGUCUAGUUUACCCAAUUCAAUUCCCAACUCUUCUGUUCCAAUAAAACGGAGCUUUCUUGGAGACAUAAAAUGCGUCCAUACCUUUCCAAACAGUUUCACAACCCGUAAAUAUUUCAAUGUAAAAACCAAUCCACCAGAAGAUUGGGAAGCUUUAGUGGUAAAUGUUUCCAACUCUUCUUUCCAACUCCUGCAUAUGAUAAUGAAUUUGAGAGUUUAGUUAUAAAAGAAGAUGAAAGCAAAAGAAAAUGUAAGCCUUAAAUUAUGAAGGUAAUAUAUAUAUAUAUAUAUAUAUAUAUAUAUAUAUAUAUAUAUAUACACCUGCAACAUUUAAUUCUCCCUGCCCUAAUCCACCCAUCUAGGAGUGAGCAAAAAACGGGUAUAACCGAAUCAAACCGAAAUAAUUUAACCGAAAUUUCUUAAUAAUUCGGGUAUUUUUUAUAAUUCGGUUAUAUCCGAUUUUUUUUUCGGUUUACGGUUACUUUUUCGGAUUUCAUUUUUGUAUUAUUCAGUUUACCCGAAUACCGAAUAAGACUUAUCUUACUCUCUCCGUCUGUCUUAUCUCUUAUCACAGACUCUCAGUCUCAACCAGAUCUGAUCUCGAUUUCUACUCUCUAUCUACUCUCUCCGUCUAAUCUCGAUUUCUCAAAGUCACUUCCAUACCGGCCGGCUUCUGUGGCCAUAGCCUCUCCCGGCGGUUUACUAUCUACUCUCUCCGUAUUUGGGUAUCGAUUUAUCAAAUCUAAUCUCAAUUUCUCAAAAGUCAGAUCUCCGUAUUCUGUGGCAAUAGCCUCCCCCGGCGGUUUACCAGAUCUGAUCUCGAUUUCUCAAAAGUCAGAUCUCGACUUAUCAUCUCUAUAUUAGACCCACUUCCAUACCGCCCCGGCUUCUAUGGCCAUACCCGUUCUUCCCGCCGGCACGACCACGUCUCAAGGCUUUCGCCUCAAAACUCCUCCUUUGACCACCGCUGACUGCUACAAGUCCGGUCAUUUGAAGAGAUUCCGGUCAUCUUGUCCGGCGGAGCUCGUCGACCGGUGAUUGCUCGUCGCCUGUUUUCGUUUGCCGAAAAGGGUCAUUGCUUUAUUUUCGUUUGCUUGUUUAUUUUCUGUUUGUUUGCCGGUGAUGGGGAUGGGGUGUGUGAUGAACUGCUGUUACUGUUAUUAAGUUGGGCAAAGAUGCGUUGAUAUUGUUGGGCUGCUUAUUGCUAAUUUGCUAUUGCUGUAAUUAUUUGGGCUGGGCUGCUUAUUGCUGUAAUUAUUUGCUUAUUGCUAUUUGAGCUUUCAUGUGGGCUGGGUUAUUACCCGAAUAUCCGAAUAUAAAUAUACAAUUCGAUUAUUCGGUUAGUUCCAAAUUUCGGUUAGUAUUUCGGAUAGUAAAAUUAUCAAUAAUUCGGUUUUCGGUUAUAACCGAAUAGCUUAUUCGGUUCGGUUAUAACCGAAUGAUCACACCUACACCCAUCCACACCAACUGCCUUUGUGCCUCAUAGCCUCGAAGGAGACUAGGAGACUACAUGCAGUGAGGUUGAAACCCUCAUCCUCUUGGUAAGACUAGGAUGACGGAUAACCAUUGGACUAUGUCAUUUGGUUAGGCAAAUAUUA
rnacentral:lncRNA from 1 species